UCGCACUCCAUAUGGAGUAGCCCCUGAGCCUUAGGUUGAAUCGAAGAAUCAAGCUGAGGGUCAAAGCUGUAAUUUUCUCCUUUUCCUUGUUUUCAAGAAAAAUUUGAACAUCGUGAUGAUGGACACGUGCCACAAAGCCCCCGAGCCUUGAGCCGACUAGUUGUGUAGGCAUAAGGGUCAAAUAUCAAUCCAUGUGUCCAUUCUUGGAAAAAACACACCAUAUCAUGAAAUAAUGGUCAACUGACAAUCAUAUCCUAGAUUAGAUCGGAUAGAUCUAUUGCAGGAUAAAUAGUAAACCACCAAUUAUAAUCUACCCCUUCACCUUCAACUACACUGUAGCCCUAGUACCGUCACCUUCC
rnacentral:lncRNA from 1 species